CAAUGAAAUCAAAUAAACGGUGCUGAAAUAGGUAAAAGACCCACGGCACAUAUAUAUUACCUACCUCCACUUAACACACGAAAACCACUCUGGACGGAAGCCGUUAGCCAUGUUACCUGUAUACGCUGUGCACUGUUGUCAACCAGUGUGGAUGAAUGAUGUAAAUUACUCUUGUAUUUGGAACAGGAAGCAAGUAAACAUAAUUCAAGGAUGUAUAUUGUAUGCC